UACGUAGGGUGCAAGCGUUAAUCGGAAUUACUGGGCGUAAAGAGCUCGUAGGCGGCUUGUCACGUCGGGUGUGAAAGCCCGGGGCUUAACCCCGGGUCUGCAUUCGAUACGGGCAGGCUAGAGUGUGGUAGGGGAGAUCGGAAUUCCUGGUGUAGCGGUGAAAUGCGCAGAUAUCAGGAGGAACACCGGUGGCGAAGGCGGAUCUCUGGGCCAUUACUGACGCUGAGGAGCGAAAGCGUGGGGAGCGAACAGG
rnacentral:rRNA from 1 species